ensembl:lncRNA
CCUUGAUGUCUCACUCCCUAUUUUUUCUUGUCCUAUAGCUCUUAAUAUUCUUUCCGUGAUGAUAUUAUUGAAAUAUUGAAUAUGAUAAACAAUGGAAAGUAUUUUCUCUAGUCACAUAUAUUGAAAUUCUAAAUCUCUCUUGACAUUGUAUGCAUUUUCCUGGCCAGAGGUUCUGGGAUGCUUUCAAUACUGAAAAUUUUCAUCAAAUGAGCCAGAAAUUCUUCUUGACUUCAACACAACAUGGCCAUUGGGAACAGAAUAAACCACAAAUAAGGAAAUGGAGAAAGUGGUUGACACACACAAAAUUCUUGGUUUUAAAUUUAAUAAUCAUGCUAGUUAUGGGAUGGAGCUUUGAAAAUAGAGCCAAUGACAGGAUGAAAAACACUGAC